AAACCAACAGGGAUUGCCCUAGUAACGGCGAGUGAAGCGGCAACAGCUCAAAUUUGAAAUCUGGCUCUUUCAGAGUCCGAGUUGUAAUUUGCAGAGGGCGCUUUGGCUUUGGCAGCGGUCCAAGUUCCUUGGAACAGGACGUCACARAGGGUGAGAAUCCCGUACGUGGUCGCUAGCUAUUGCCGUGUAAAGCCCCUUCGACGAGUCGAGUUGUUUGGGAAUGCAGCUCUAAAUGGGAGGUAAAUUUCUUCUAAAGCUAAAUAUUGGCCAGAGACCGAUAGCGCACAAGUAGAGUGAUCGAAAGAUGAAAAGCACUUUGGAAAGAGAGUCAAACAGCACGUGAAAUUGUUGAAAGGGAAGCGCUUGCAGCCAGACUUGCUUGCAGUUGCUCAUCCGGGCUUUUGCCCGGUGCACUCUUCUGUAGGCAGGCCAGCAUCAGUUUGGGCGGUGGGAUAAAGGUCUCUGUCACGUACCUCUCUUCGGGGAGGCCUUAUAGGGGAGACGACAUACCACCAGCCUAGACUGAGGUCCGCGCAUCUGCUAGGAUGCUGGCGUAAUGGCUGUAAGCGGCCCGUCUUGAAACACGGACCAAGGAGUCUAACAUCUAUGCGAGUGUUUGGGUGUCAAGCCCGAGCGCGUAAUGAAAGUGAACGGAGGUGGGAACCCGCAAGGGUGCACCAUCGACCGAUCCUGAAGUUUACGGAAGGAUUUGAGUAAGAGCAUGGCUGUUGGGACCCGAAAGAUGGUGAACUAUGCUUGAAUAGGGUGAAGCCAGAGGAAACUCUGGUGGAGGCUCGCAGCGGUUCUGACGUGCAAAUCGAUCGUCAAAUUUGGGCAUAGGGGCGAAAGACUAAUCGAA
rnacentral:rRNA from 1 species